GCAAAUUAAUAGUAAAAUUAAAAAAAUAUUUGUUAUUUAAUUUGCUUUUAUGACUGAUUAGUCACUAAUAUUGACCCAAACUUCCCAUUGAAAGUUUUAAUAAUACUAUUGACCCAAAAAGUUUCACAGCUUCACUUUUUUUUUUUUUUGUCGAAUUCACAGCUUGACUAAAUUCCACAACAAUAAGAUAGUUAAUAAAACAGUACAAAUGGACCUUAAUCAGUUCUCUGAGAGGGCCAAUAAAAAAAACCUAACUCUAUUGCUUAAUGUUGACUAGAUCCUAAGGUAUCAUCAUGUCCUGAACCAACCAAUCAAAUCCCUCAAGCAACCCUUCCCCUGUGUAUGCGCUACAGCCCACGAUUUUUCAAUGCCUGGUUUUGUCCAUAUUCUCCAGGUUUAGUACCUGCAGAAGUUUUGCAAACUCCAUUUUAGAAUUUCAAAAGACGAAAGCAAGGCUAUAAAUCAGACAUAGUAACUUUGGAAGAAAAGAAAAUGGAAACCAAAAAAUUAUAUAUAUAUAUAUAGUAGCUUUAACAUGAUUAUGUUGGAAGUGUAAGGUCAAGAUACUAAGGCAUGCUUAAUCAUUUUGAACCAUGCUUCUUUCAUUGCCCAAAUACUGGAAAGUUAUAGAUAUUUAAAAAUAUAUGCAUAUCAAGUCGACUUCCGUAAUCAUUAAACCAUGAAAUGUUCUUUGCCCCGUUCUAAUCAAAUAUAAUAGGAUUUAAAGUAGAAUAGGAAGAAACAGAAUACACGUGCCUAACAUCAUUAAUAGCUGCUGAAACAAACACACCUGAUGACAUAAUUGAGAAAGCAAGAUUCACAAGUUGACACACAUGCUCAAAUAUCAAAUUAAAGUUCACAACUACACCGGGAGAGUGAAUAUUCCAGGACAAUGAGCAGCACAGUAAUAACAUGGAAAAAGGACAACAAACUUCAAGUUGGUCCAAGAAAGAAAAAUAACCUACAAAUUACAAUAUUUAAAUCAGUACCUUAGCAAUUUCAUCUUAGCAAUUUCAUCUGGUGUAAGAGCACCUUUUAGGUCUUGCUUAUUUGCUAGUAUUAGCAAAGAUGCUCUAGAAAGCCUCUGUAAGAUGAUGUUCAGUUAGGAUAAAAAACUAUAAUAGCUUCGAAUUGAGCUCUCGAUGCCAGAUAAUAUCAAUAUGGUUGUUUACUACAAGUUCGUGAAUUCUCGAGAAGUCCUUGCAAACUCAGAUUCUUUUGUUCUAUAUAUAUGCACUCGGCCUACUUUUUCCCCUUGGCUCCCUUCUUUUUUGCUGCUGCUGCAGUAGUUGCUCUCAGAAGUUUUCAUUUUCAUGUGUAAGCAAAUUCUCCAAAUUUAUGACCAACCUUUGCUUCUGUUAUCUUACAGGAAUAUGAUAGGCAACAUUGAAACUUGACAAACAAAGCAAGCACAAUGCUUUGAAGAUUGCAGGCCCUUUAUCUUUUCAAAAUAAAGGCAUCACACUUCUUUUUCCACUUUUCUGUUCCUUUAAGUUUGUUGAAGAACAGGGGGAUUUCCUAAUAAAGAAAGAAAUAUUUUGAAUAGGAAUUCCUUAAUGACCAUGAAAGGGCUAAGAGAAAAAAUAAGCAAUUCUGUGCAUAUGCCAUGGAAAAGAAACAGAGAAAAUAAAUAGUAAGACAUAGCUGACCUUAAAGGCCUUGAACCAAC
rnacentral:lncRNA from 1 species